GGUCGAUUAGCUCAGUUGGUUAGAGCGUGGUGCUAAUAUCCACCUCCCCUUUGGAGAGCGAUAGAAUACGCCAAGGUCGCGGGUUCGACCCCCGUAUUGACCA